CCAGACUGGAGUGCAAUAGUGUGAUCACAGUUUGCUUUUGCAACCUUGACCCCCUGGGCUCAAUCUUCCAGCUCAGCCUACUGAGUAGCUGGACUUCUGGUACAUGCCACCAUGCCCAGCUAAUUUUUUGUGUGUUUUUGUAGAGACAAGGUUUUGCCAUGUUGCCAAGGCUGGUCUCAAACUCCUAGGCUCAAGCAAUUCACCCAGCUUGACCUCCCGAAGUGCUAGGAUUACAGAUAUGAGCCACUGCACCUGGCUCUGUUCACAGUUUAAAAAGUAGUAGUCCUUUAUGGUUUUAUCACACUCUAUAGUGGGCAUAAAUAUUGGCUAUCUCAGCCUGACAUGGUGGCUCAAGCCUGUAAUCCCAGCACUUUGGGAGGCCGAGGUGGGUGGAUCACAAGGUCAAGAGAUUGAGACCAUCCUGGCCAACAUGGUGAAACCCCGUCUCUACUAAAAAUACAAAAAUUAGCUGGGCGUGGUGGCGUGCGCCUGUAGUCCCAGCUACUUGGGAGGCUGAGGCAGGAGAACUGCUUGAACCCGGGAGGCAGAGGUUGCAAUGAGCCGAGAUUGUGCUACUGCACUACAUCCUGGCGCCUGGCUAAAAAAAUAUAUAUAUAUUGGAUAUCUCAUCCACCCUAUCAAUGUCCCGACCCACUAGGCUUCUGGGAGGAGAUCUUAUUUAUGGCACCCAGCAGGCAUACUGGAUGGGUGGAUUUGAAGGCUUGAAGACUCAGAGGUUUAACAGCAGUGGAACAUUAAGAGUGGGUAGCCAGGUCAUGGAACACAAGGCCCAGUCAGCAGCCUAAGGAAGGAUAUGCCUGAGGGCCUGCACAGGCCUGUCCUCUGCUCAUGUUCAGCCUAUAUCUUCACCCGCUGUGCUGAGCCUGACCUGGGGGAGGCUUUUGAGUAAGUGCUCCAUAAGGAGAGGAUGAGGUAUGUUUGAAAGACAAGACACCCUGGGUUUGGUCACACUAACUCCAGUACCUUUCCUAUCUGCACACUGGGCACUCAGCUCCCAAAUAAAUGUGCACUUAGAAGCUGCACAUCUCAAACAAACAAACAGGCACAUCAGCUUCCAAGCAAGCCUACUAAUAGGCUGUGUACCCACUGCUCAAAACCCUUUUAUGGCUGCCCACUGCCCUCCAAAUUUAGCCCAAGCUUUUAAACCUGACAUUCAAGGCCCUUCACUGUGUGACUCCAGCCAGCCUACACAGCCUCAUCUCUCAGUCCUACCAUUUUAGGUACCCUUUGUUCCAAACACACAGCAUAUAUGUACAUACACACAAACACAGACGCAACAUUUCCAGCAAUUCAUCAGGCUCUUUUAGCAACUUCACACAUCUGAAUAUGCUGUUCCCUCUGCUUUUAACAUCCUUCUCCCUUUUCUCUACAGGGUCAGCUUAGGGUUUUGGUUAAGAGCUUGAGUCAAGUUCCAAUUCAGACUGACCCACUGGACUUUUGGCCCUGCUGCUCUCUAGCUGCAUGGGCUUCACUGCAUAAUCUGGAUGCUGUGUACCUCUCCAACAUCAGCUUACAGCAUCUUCCCUCUACCAUGUUCUAUUAUGUUCUGCCCUGAGCCUGUUUGCCCUUGGCACAGGUCUGAUAUUCUCUGGGCCUCUGUCACUAUUUGUGUUGGAAUAGUUUGGUACCCUUGAUGCCUACGUGGCUCUGUUACUCUCUAGUAUGUCACCAUCAAAACCAGAACGUGCUUUCUAGAUGGUAGCAGAAUGACUCUGAAGGUGAAGCUUCACCUUUUCUCUCUGGAGCAGCUGGAAAAACCUUCUCCAAACCAGCACUGAUCACAGAGAAGUGACUACAUCAAGGCCAGAGGCAUCUUCCAGAUAUUCCAUCUGGGUGAGAAUUCUUCAGCCACAUCUGGAGACCAUUAGUCUCCAUUUGCACCCACACCCAUACCCUGCACUGUGCCCUAGGAGGUGGACCCCUAUGGGCUGCCUCACCAGGCCUUCUUGCUAACUGGCUUCCACUUGGGUUUGGACAUGAUUCCUGACCCAUUUGAGUCCUGGGCCGUAAGAUUUUUCCACUAUUGCCAGCCUCUGGGCAGGUGCCUCAGUGUCUUUUUUUCUCUUAACCUGCCCACAUCUCACUACAGUAGUCCUCUCAUUAAAGUCUCUUCAUCUGAACAGUUAGGAGUAAAUUGCUUCCUGCUGGUCCCCAAAUACCUGAGCCUGCAUCUGGAAACGACUGAUCUGAAUGGGCAGAUCCAGGUGGAGGGUCAGGUAUUUGGUGACCAACAGGAAGCAAUUCACCCCUCAUGGUUCAUAAUCCCUACCAAAAAUAAAAAAUAGCUAAGCAUGGCAGUGCAUGCCUAUGGCCCCAGCUACUCAGAAGGCUAAAGUGAGAGGAUCAUUUGAACCCAGGAGCUUUAGGCUGCAAUGAGCUGUGAUGAUGCCCCUGCACUCCAACUUGGGCUAUGAGGUGAGACUCUGACUCAAAAACAAACAAAUGAAAAAAUAGACACAAUCAUGUCAAGACUUGCCCCAGAACAAAGAACCCACCAGCACAACCCAUAAACAGCCUCUCCCAAUGUUCAUGCUUUGGACCAGACAUACUCUAUGCUAGCUAACUUCUCUAGGAGCAUGAGGAUCUAAUUCUAACUUAUUAAGAGCUCUUGUGGGCAGAGUCAGAUAAGACAGGGGCACCUGCAGUGCAGUGACAGUGAAGUAACAGUGACUAGUUUGGUGAACCAACAAUACAGAACAAAACAGGCCUCAAGGCAAAGCAUGGUCAGACUACUGCUCAGGCAGCAUGAGCAGUGCAAGUCAGUGUGGAAGAAGCCAAAGAACUUGUGCUACUUAGGGCAGCCUUGCUGGAGGGCCUACAGGACCUGGGCAGGAACCAUGGGAUGCUAGAAAGCCUGGCAGAUGCCUCUUCUCUCUGCUGCCUUGGUGAAUACCUGCCUGCCUGCAGCAGCAACUUCUCAUCCCCAGCAUUGGCUGCCAAUUAACCUUUAAACCUUUUACAACCAGAUCACCUUGGGCUUCAUGGUCAGAAUGUAAAGCACCAUGGAGACACAGGGAUCCUCUCCACCACUACCGUCAGGAGUUCUCGGCUGCAUGGGGGAAGUCAGAUUGGGCUCAAAGACCUAGACUCCAAGUAGCAUGUGAGAAGUGAGACAGCAGCAGACAUGAACACAGUGCUGGGGAAUUGGGUGAGGAGGACCUUAAUGGAGCAAGUGCUGUGAGCAAUCCUUAGACUUCAGAUCCCCAACUGUCCCAAGAAGAAACUAAAGUAAACAAUCUCUGGCUGGGCAGCAGUGGCUCACGCCUAUAAUCCCAGCACUUUGGGAGGCCGAGGUGGGUGGAUCACAAGGUCAAGAGAUCUAGACCAUUCUGGUCAACAUGGUGAAACCCCGUCUCUACUAAAAAUACAAAAAUUAGCUGGGCAUGGUGGCGCAUGCCUGUACUCCCAGCUACUCGGGAGGCUGAGGUAGGAGAAUUGCUUGAACUCAGGAGGUGGAGGUUGCGGUGAGCCGAGAUCGCGCCAUUGCACUCCAGCCUGGGUAACAAGAGUGAAACUCCAUCUCAAAAAAAAAAACAAUCUCUAAGGUCUGCUAGUUCAGAUGAUCUACCCUCUACCCUCCUUUGCCUUGUAAAAGUUGGGAGCGGGGGCUGGGUCCAGCUUCUGGUAAGCUAGGGGAUGGGAGGCAGAGGAAGUGGCUUGAGCUGCUUGACACCCCCACCUACCCACACUGGGGCUGUCCCAUUACGGACAGGGAAAUCACAGACUCAGCGCUCAGACAUCUGGGAGGGGCUGGGCAGCCAGGGUAUUUUUAGAAGGCCAGAGGCAAACAUGCCCGGAAUUCUGGGUGUUGCUGAGCCAAAGAAGCUGAGAGGCUAGCAGAGGGUGAACCAGAAGAGGUGGCCUCCGCCCUGGUCCUAACUUCACUGAGGUCAGCUGGCCUUGCCUUUCCCCAGAGGCUAGUGCUUAGGCCUACAGUGUGCAAGCUCUGAUUCCCCCGACUUGUCACUCAUGCUUCCUUCUGGGCCGUCAGACACAAAGCUGUUUUAGGGCCUCAGGGAGAGCACUUGAUCUCUUGAUUCAUUCAGCCAGCUCUUUUGGUGCUUCCUGUGGUCCAGGUGAGCUGCUGGACCCUAGGAAUAUAGAAUAGAGAGGAGGCAACCCUGGAGGGGCUCAAAUCUGUUGAGGGUGGGGUAGUGGGAAAAUGGAAACAGAGACAGUGAUAACACCUUGAUAUCACUUUGGAAGAAAAGGAAAUACGGCCCGAGAGAGCUCAGAGGGUCCCCAGCUCCCACGGUUGCCACAAGGACCAGUGGGUUAUCUAUGGACAAAAAUGUAAGCUGCCAGCUAGGGGGCCAGCUCUAGGUAUAACUAAGGUAUGAUUAUCAGUCCAUUCUAGAGCCAUGCCUUUUCCUUUUGCAUGAUUUCUGAAAGAUAACAUCCCAGAAGUAGAAUACAAGGUAAGAUUAUCUUUUCAGCUCCUGACUUAUCAAUUACCAGAAAAAAAAAAAAAAAAAACCCAGUUUGCACUGACAGCUCCGUCUCUGUCUCCUUCUCCCCAUCCUAUCCCUUCCAGUCCCUCCAGGCAAAUCUACACUAUUAUGUUACAGAUAAAGACCCAAGGCCCAGAGGGGCAGGUCCAGCCCAGGUGAACUCUGAGUUAUCUGUAACCUGCAGAUUCCCAUGUGAUUGAAAACACAGGAAGGGCGGGUGGGUGGCUCACACCUGUAAUCCCAGCACUUUGGGAGGCGAGGUGGGCGGAUCACCUGAGGUUCGGAGUUCGAGACCAGCCUGACCAAUAUGGUGAAACCCUGUCUCAAAAAAUAAAAAUAAUAAAACACAGGAAGGACACUCCCAGGCCCGCCCAUCAGAGGAAGAGGGCUGGGGCAUGGGGUGGGCAUAUGGCAGGAGUCCAGCCCCACACUGGGCCCCAUCACAAUUGACACUGCAGCUUAAACCUGAUCUGUCCCACUCACUCCCCAGGAUUGUCUGGCCUUUCAGCCCCCAAUUUCUCAAACUGUGCUCUUCAGUUUCAUAAGGGUUUCCUGCCUUAUUUAUGGUUGUCUGCAGAUAUGCUAUCUGAAUUUUUACAUUUUGCAUGUUCACUUUAAUAAUAAUCUAAAUGUGUUAAUAUGAGAAUAUUCUGGCUUGGCUGGAAUGCACAGCAUCUUAUGAAAGAGGCUGCUCUAAAUGUCAGUGUCCAUAUCCAGAUUUAUCAGCAGAUUAGUUCCAAAGAAUCUAAGGGAACCACAUUUAACACCAAUGCAGCGUCUCUAACUGACUUAAUUAAGUUUGAGACUCACUGCUCUAGCUAAAAUGCUUAUUUCCUUCCUGUAAGGUCCUGGGUAGAGAAAAAAGGAUCUCAGUUGGAAUCAGAGGCCUGGGUUCUGAUUUUGUCUCUAUCCAACUCACUGAAAAACCGCGGACGGUUCCCUACCUGUGUCUCAUUCUAGAUCUCAGUUUAUUCAUUUGUAAAAUGGAAUGUUUGGGUUAGACAAUCUCUAUGGUCCCUUCUGGCUCUCACAUGCCAGGAUUCCAAAUUGUGAUUGAGCUGCCCUCUCAUAGUCACCCCUGCCCACCCUACACCCCCAUGGCAUCCCCACUGAGGCCCAGUGCUUCUGGGGGCUCCUGGGUGGAGAAAUAGAGCCUCCAGGAGGGCGGGUAUCAGGCAGAUGUUAAGGGAGUGGCCUGAGUGGGAUUGAAGGUCAUGAGGAAGAAAGCCAUCAGACCUACCUCCCCACGUCAGGAGGGCUCCUCCCCACGUCAGGAGGGCUCCUCCCAGGAUAGUAAGGGGUCAGGGAACCCAGCCCUCACUGUGUGUGAUUCUCCUCUAAGAUUCACUGUCACUCAUCCCAUCCUCCUACCCCACAGUGCUGCCAGGAACAUAGAGCAACCCUCUCAUCUAACCCCCUCUCCCAUCCCAGCUCACACUGGACCCCCAGACAGUGCCAGAACCAACCCUCUGACUAGACCUUCCUCAGCUCCCAUCCUUUGGGCCUGCCAAACUCCUGUAGAUUGCCUAUAAUUCAGAUUAAGAGUUCCCUCUGUCAAGAAGCUCUCCUAGAUCCCCCACCCUAGGUAGGCUCAGGACCUUUAUCCAACCUCCCGUCUAUACUAACCUCUGUCCCUGAACUGAGCCAUCUUAAUUGUUUUCGGUUGAUCUCUCCCUCCUGGUUCCUGACUGCCUUUGUUAAUUCAGACAGUGUGGAGAUGACACCUUUCUCACUUUGCUGGGAAAAGAUCUGAAGCUCUAUCUCUUGGCCAAGGAAUUCCAGACCUGGAAAAGCACCUGGAGUAGUAGGAAGUUUUCUCCUAACCUCAGGGCUCAGACAUGCCUGCCCUCCAAGUCAACGCUCAGCAGCACCGGGGGCAGUCUUUUCCUGCAUAGGACAGUUUCUUGACCAGAUAAAGUAAUCUGGGCACCCUACAUCCAGGCCUAUCAGUUUGUCCGAUCUUGUCAUUCUCUUCCCUAAGGAGUCUCCUGGGGACACAGGCCAAAGGAGUCAUGUCACAUGGGAGGAGAGGGCAGGAUGGGAGGGAGGAAUGGGACUAGGGAAAUGCUUGGGGGGUAGGUGGGAUGUCCCUACCACAUCUAGAUGGAGGUGGCUAUGUCCUCAUCUGGGUGUGGGACCAUCCUAGCUUUCAGUGACCUGGUCCCCACCCUAGCCCAGUUGAGGAGACUUCAGAGCCCAGAGGUCAUAUGUCAUCACCUCCCAGGGAAAUCCUGCCCAACCCCAAAGUUGUCUGUUCCCAACAUACCAGCCAGGAGAGAACACUGGGCAGUGAGUCACAAAAGUGUGUGGCUUUGGGCAGAUCACACUCCCAUCUCAGGGCCUCAGUUUCUCCAUCUGCAGAAUAAGGUGGACCCUGUAAACCCUAAGGGCUCAUCUGGUCAGGACAGUCUAUACGCAGAUGAAGGGUGAAGUAGAAGAGACUGCUCCUGUGUGCCAGUUCUGGCCAGAUGCUCCCGUGUCUCUUAUCCCAUCUAACUGCUCAGCCACAGACAGAGAAAGCUCCAUGGAAAGCUUUCACUCUGCUAGAGGCAGAGACAUGUGGCGUGGAUAUUUUGUAUA